AGCGAACGCUGGCGGCAGGCCUAACACAUGCAAGUCGAACGGAUCCUUCGGGAUUAGUGGCGGACGGGUGAGUAACACGUGGGAACGUGCCUUUGGUUCGGAACAACUCAGGGAAACUUGAGCUAAUACCGGAUGUGCCCUUCGGGGGAAAGAUUUAUCGCCAUUAGAGCGGCCCGCGUCUGAUUAGCUUGUUGGUGAGGUAAAGGCUCACCAAGGCUACGAUCAGUAGCUGGUCUGAGAGGAUGAUCAGCCACACUGGGACUGAGACACGGCCCAGACUCCUACGGGAGGCAGCAGUGGGGAAUCUUGCGCAAUGGGCGAAAGCCUGACGCAGCCAUGCCGCGUGAAUGAUGAAGGUCUUAGGAUU
rnacentral:rRNA from 1 species